AGAGAGUUGGCAGAGUGUUAAUGCAUUUAGCUUGAAACUAAAUUUAGGCAGGUUUGAUUCCUGUAUUCUCUU
rnacentral:tRNA from 1 species